GGAACUAAGAACAACAUUUUAACACCUGCCUCAGGGCACUUCUGCACCUAGCUAUCCAUCUCUCCAGUGGCCCACAAAGCCUGGGCUGGAUGCCAAGCAGCUUCUGAGUCCUGCCUCCUUCCCAGAGCUGGCCCACUGCAACAAAAAGGACCCCAGAGGAAAGAUCAAAGAGGAUCCUUUCGGGAGAUGCACCAGUUCCAUGGGAAGUUUUGUUUCUCCCAGGACAAAAGCUACUGCAUUGGCUAAUAGAAGGAGGAGUGUUACACGAUGAUGGAUGUGUGAAAUGACACACCAAAACAAAACAGCACUCCCCGUUUCUUCCCUAGGGGAGAGAGUGGAAGAACAAACCACAUGUGACAAUGUCAGUCAUGUUGCUUAAUGGACUGCUCUGGGACUUUCAGGUACUACAGCGAUGUGGACAACAUAAGAACCUGUUUAGGGUUGCAUAACAUAGCAGUAAAAUGGCAAAAACUUGAAUAUCAUGCUCCAGAUUUUUAGAAGACAGCCUGAAAAAGCACUGUCAACUUUUUGGCAUGGUAAUUUUUA
rnacentral:lncRNA from 12 species